rnacentral:tRNA from 1 species
CGGAGUGUGGCGCAGCUUGGUAGCGCGUUGCAAUGGGGGUUGCAAAGGUCGCAGGUUCGAAUCCUGUCACUCCGA